GUCAGUCCCGUAGGGAGAAGGUCAUCCACAGGUAAGACCGUCCAAAAGGGCGGCGCCUUCUCCCUCCUGCCAAAAGGGCAGGCUUGCGGGAAAGGAGGU
rnacentral:ncRNA from 1 species